UGCAUCUACAGAGCUUGGUAAAGGGUGGUAUUGUGUCACUGUGUCAUCAUAGGAGCGAGUGUGCUGCCUGUGCCAGCUGUCCCACAGCCUGAGGGAUGGAACCAAAAACCCAACUCGUGUGCCUCUCCAGGUAACACAUAGGACACCCCCCAUUUUCACUCAUUUUUAGUGAGUAUCAGAUUCUAGGAAGAAGCAUGUCAAUAAAAGCAGAUCAACAUGCUCGCUGGGAAGGUUAAGUCAACAUCAGACCAUGUUUAUUUAGUUUUAAUGUAAGUACAGUGACAGAAGUGUCAGCUGGAACAGAUCUCCGGACACCGCUGGUCCUGUGCCCCAUGAGAAGCAGGGCUGUUACCAGUGCUAACUCAGAUCAGCCAUGGAUUUCUCUAGCUCAGUUUUAAAAACCCUCAAGGAUGGGGAGUCCCUGACUGUCCCAGGUGCAGUGCUGCACCACCUUCCUGGAAGAAUCCUCUCCCAGUGUCUACCCUGAACCUCCCAACCCACCCAUCAUCCACAGCCACAUCAUCUGCCACUAUGGGCACCUGCAGCAGCUCAGCUUCAUGUCUUCCUGCCCAGAUAUACUUGUACUUAUCUUUGGUGUUGCUUCUUGCCAUCCCUUGUCAAACCAACCCCAGAGACUCACUCCUCCUCGUUUCCCUGAAGCCCUUGGACUCAGCAGAACUGUGGGCUGAGAUGGCUGAAGUACAGAGGGCUACAGCCCAGAGAAAGGUGCCAAGUGGAUGUUCCCCAGCAUGGAGGCUCCAGCAUGCGUAGCCCAUCCGUGGUGCUCCCUUGCCCAUAUCCCCUGACUGAGCUCCACAUCCAAACAAGUUUCUGCCACAGAAACCCUGUUUUUAGGGUGCACUAUUUGAUUUUGUUGUAGUUUUAGGUUUUCCCUCCUUAUUCCAUCCUGGACUUAGAACCUCUCCAUGAUCUCUGCUUGUCAGCCUGAUUGCAUCAUCCACAGUAGGUUGUCAGCCUGAUUGCAUCAUCCACAGCAGGUUGUCGGCAUGGUUGCAUCAUCCACUGCAGGUAACAUUAGCAAGAAUAGAAGGAAAAACAAACAGCACUUCACACAACACGCAGGCCCAGUGGCUGAGAGCACUUGCAGCUUGCAGAGGUUACAGACCCCAGUCAGGUUGAAUACAGACCUGCAUCACUGAAGGGGCAGGAACUACAAUUGUAAUUAUCCGUGUUGAAGUUGAGAUCACUACAUCUCCUGCUUCAGGAGCAAAUCUGAGCACAGCAGGGAACCUCAGGAGAACAUUUCCUUUGCGCACAGCCCUGAGCACUGAGUCAGGACAGCCCAACAAGGCUCUAAGUGCCUGCUGCCCAAAGGAAGGAAUGCCACUGUGAUUCGGCAUGAAUGUAGCUUACACACGGAGACAGGAAAGGACCUUCCACUGCAGGACAGGGCCAUAGCCACAAGUGGCACUGUGAUGUGGGGCCCCUACGGCCAGCACCAAGCAGUGCUCACCUGGGAGGAGUGGCAGAGGAGGAUGGUCACCUGCAGCAGAUGGCUGCCCUGGCAUUGCCAGUGGUGCUGGCAGGAUCCUCCCUGCAGCGCGGGUGGUUUCCCAGAGGUGUCCUGCAUGAGGGAGAAUGUUGCAAAAAUCCAGGCCUCUGUAUCAAUUCCAUCCCAAUGCAGCUGCUCAAAUGUAAUUGUGAAAAAUAUUAGCAAUUGAAUUGCGAAGGCAUUGCGAAACAGUUAAGUACAAAGAAAAUAAACUAGCAUGCUGUGCUUGAUGUAAGCACACAACAGUCCCCACAUGUCACUGGAACCAGCACGAUC
ensembl:lncRNA